UCGAUGGAAAGCGGAAUGAUAUCAGUCGACAGACCGGCGGCCGGAAGCCAGGCCUACUUCCUGACUCAUCUCCACACCGCCGGGAUCUCCGGCGCGGCCCCCUCUUCUGCUCCCGCCUCACUGCCAAGCUUAUCCCCUGCAAGUUCCCGGGAUUCGAUGUCUCUCUCCUCCGCAUCGUCGAAAUCGGCAGUUGGCAUUCUCUCUCCCUUACCUCUCCUUCGUGGAAUUCGUGUUCAAGGAGAUCGAUGCUCAGCAUCGUCCUGGUAAAUUUUUACUGCUUUUCUUUUGUGAUGUUUCAGCGAGAUUUUGCUGCAAUUAUUUCGUUUUUACUGCUUUGAUUUGUAAAUUCUCACUUAGAACUUGCAUAGGUUGCGUUGUUUGGGGACCAGAUUUUCCUUGCGAUUGAAUUUGCUGAUUUACCUCUUUUGAUUUUGCUCAGUUAUGUGUACUUGUUUCGUGGGGAAUCAGGCUGUACGCUUCACACUGGGGAUUUUUGUUGGGAAUCGAAUAGUUUAGCCACGGGAAAUGGAAGGGCUGUGUUGCUUGAUGCUCUCAAGGAUCAGACACUUGAUACUCUUUUUUUGUACUCCCUCCGUCCCACUACAAGUGAAGCGGUUCAAUUCGGACGUUGUUUUGCAAAAAUAAUACUCCGAAUAAAUAAGAGAAUAAUAUAUAUACGACUCUCUUCUAUAUUAUCCUCUCUCUUAUUUUACUUUCUCUCCACUCGAACUAUUUAUUAUCAUCUUUGCAAAACAACGGCCGGAAAGAAACGCCUCACUUGUGGUGGGACAGAGGGAGUAUAAUACUUACUGCAACCCACAGUACUUGUUUCCUUCUCAUGAAGUGGCUUCCAAACAGGUAGAUACAGGUAGAUAUUGUAUUCUUCUGAAAUAUGAUUCUUGUAUUUUGUAGUUAUUUUCGUUCCGUUAUGACUUAAGCUGGCUAUAGUAUUUAUGCUCCCUCUCACUAUAUUCUUAGACUAACUGUUCUGUUCAUAUAAGAUGUUCAGAUGAGGAAUAGACUGCCCUGAUAAGGUGGGGUUGAUUUAUGGUACUACAGAUUGUUUCAGGUUUCAACAUAGGUUUUCACUCAUUACUAUUUCUCAAGAAAGGAAGGAAACAAAUCAGAAGAUGCGUGUGUAAAGUUAGUUGGUUUAGGCGUGGACGAGACAAUGAAAGAAUUGUUAGAGAUAGUCUGUUGUGCUUGCAUUUAUUGAAUAAUUAUAUGGAUGACUAAUUUUUUUGUAGAUCUUUGAGCUGAGAUGUCUCUAGAGAUGUUGCGUUGCUUGAACCUUUACAUCUCCGUUAUGUUUCAGAAGAUUGAGCCACACUUUUGACGACUAUUCACAGAUUGUUGAUAUUAUCACGUCUCAUCCAAACGAUGAAGUAGUUAUUGCAAUAGACUCAUUGGGAAAGGAAGACCUUCUGCUCUAUUUAUCACAAGCACUGAACAUGAAGAAUUGGUUAUGGCCGGAAUGAUUACAAAUCAUGCAUCUACUUGGGUUUCAUGACAACUUCACGACCCACACCUCUCUUACUAGAAUCCGUGCUAUUCCUCGUUACAGUUUUAAAACUGACACUCUUAACAAGCUGAAUGAAUUCCGUGGCCCAACCAUAGGUAUUAUGCCAUCUGGCAUGCCAUGGGCUGUGGCCAGGAAAGAUGGGAAUACGGUUGGUGCUUCUGCAUCUCAUGUGAAUGAAAAAGUGUGCAGCAAAAAUACCGGAAGUUGCUCUGAGAUACACGGUUUGGGUGAAAUUCAGGAAACGCUACAAAAUAUUAUGAAGUCCAUUACUCUGAUCACUCAUGCUAUUCUGAGAUACAAGAAUUCAUUGAGCUUCUCCGGCCUGUCAAUAUCAAAGGCAUUGUGUCUUCGAGAUCAUGUAGCAUUAACCCCCGUUACUACUUUGGCCACCUUUGUGGACCUGAGCAAGCUCUCUGGAGGGUACAGCAGAAACUUGAUUACGAGGAAGAUUUAAGGAGGGCUGAAGUUGCUGAAAUAAAACCUAUAGCAGAUGGUGUUUCCCAUGUGUCAGGAAGGAAAAGGAAGAAUGGUCACAUGAGGUUUUUUGGUAUACGCAUAAGUAGGGUAAGCUUGUUGGGGAGGUUGAGCCGUGGAGCUAGAAUUACAAGUACGGAGUCUUGCUCCGAAUGAUUGAAACUCAUUGCAGUGUAUAUCCAGUUAAGCUCUUUAGAAGGAACAAUAAAUAUAGCUGUAUAAC